rnacentral:rRNA from 1 species
GAUGAACGCUGGCGGCGUGCCUAAUACAUGCAAGUCGAGCGAACAGACGAGGAGCUUGCUCCUCUGACGUUAGCGGCGGACGGGUGAGUAACACGUGGAUAACCUACCUAUAAGACUGGGAUAACUUCGGGAAACCGGAGCUAAUACCGGAUAAUAUAUUGAACCGCAUGGUUCAAUAGUUAAAGACGGUUUUGCUGUCACUUAUAGAUGGAUCCGCGCCGCAUUAGCUAGUUGGUAAGGUAACGGCUUACCAAGGCAACGAUGCGUAGCCGACCUGAGAGGGUGAUCGGCCACACUGGAACUGAGACACGGUCCAGACGCCUACGGGAGGCAGCAGUAGGGAAUCUUCCGCAAUGGGCGAAAGCCUGACGGAGCAACGCCGCGUGAGUGAUGAAGGUCUUCGGAUCGUAAAACUCUGUUAUUAGGGAAGAACAAAUGUGUAAGUAACUAUGCACGUCUUGACGGUACCUAAUCAGAAAGCCACGGCUAACUACGUG